CGCAGGUGCAUUGUAGUCGCAUUGUCUGUCCCAAUUGCUUCAGGCAAUACAACUUCAGUGCAAGCUCUG
rfam:Drosophila ficusphila unplaced genomic scaffold scf7180000454113, whole genome shotgun sequence